CCACUUGGGCCUUCCAAAGUGCUGUGAUUAUAUGUGUGAGUCACAGAACCUAGCUCCAUCCUAGUUUCUGACUAAAACAAUAUGUGCGUAUACAGCCUGUCCUCAGAAUUGAUCUUCCAUAGCCUAGACAGAGGUAUGAGACACAAGGAAAAUAGAGGCUACCUGGGAGAAUGUUUACAGCAUCCUGACAUUCAUCAUGAGAGGAUUCUCUGUCUACAACCAGAGCUGAGUUGACUUUGUCUUCCUCAAAGGUGAUGUUGAUGUUCUUGUGAGGCUGGUUGGAGUCACAAGGGCUGUGGCUAUUUGAACAAGUGAUGGCACAUUCCUCCAGUGAGUCCUCAGGGACUUUGCUUUCUUCAGCCUUCUGCACCUCCCUGAUGAGCCAGGUGGGACAGAGAUGACAGAAGAUUAAACACAGAGGGAUUGGACCCCAGGGAGUCCUAGCUGGUUUUGACAGGCGGCAUUAAGACAGUGGUCCCAGAAAGCAAAAUGGAG
rnacentral:lncRNA from 10 species